rnacentral:rRNA from 1 species
GGAUGAACGCUGGCGGCGUGCCUAACACAUGCAAGUCGAACGGAGAUUACGGACGGAAGUUUUCGGAUGGAAGCCUGUAAUUCUUAGUGGCGGACGGGUGAGUAACGCGUGGGCAACCUGCCCUAUACAGGGGGAUAGCAGCUGGAAACGGCUGGUAAGACCGCAUAAGUCGGUUAAAUCGCAUGAUUUGAUCGGGAAAUGAGCAAUCAGGUAUAGGAUGGGCCCGCGUCCGAUUAGCCAGUUGGCAGGGUAAAAGCCUACCAAAGCGACGAUCGGUAGCCGGACUGAGAGGGCGGACGGGCACAUUGGGACUGAGACACGGCCCAAACUCCUACGGGAGGCAGCAGUGGGGGAUAUUGCACAAUGGAGGAAACUCUGAUGCAGCGACGCCGCGUGAGUGAAGAAGUAUUUCGGUAUGUAAAGCUCUAUCAGCAGGGAAGAUGAUGACGGUACCUGACUAAGAAGCCCCGGCUAACUACGUG